rnacentral:siRNA from 1 species
UAUAGAUAUGUAGUGUGAUGUAGA